ensembl:lncRNA
UGACUACUAUUUAACAGUUUCAAAAAGUUAUGGCACAAUUAUUUCAUAAUACAAACAUGUAUUUAAGACAUUAUGUAUACUUUCAAACUGCUGUUUUAACAAGAGCAGAUCCUACUUUUAGAUCCUUUAGAUUUUUUAAAUUGGUUGGUGUGUUUUCAGGUGGAUCCUCUUUAAUGUUACUGAUAGUUUGAGUUCAUGUCCCUGGAUAUAUAGGUGAAUGCAUGGUCAAUAAUUCUGGUGGUGUUGGAUUUCACUUAAGUAGCUAACGAAAACAACUUUGCACUUUUUAGAGUUCUAAAAAGAGCAAGCAAACUAUUCUAACUAGUGAAGAUUUAAUUGAGUUUGUAAGCAUUAACACUGCUAGUUUUAUGGUUUGGAGCUUGAGGCCGCUAUUAGUGACAGCUGAUCAUAUUUACUUCCCUUUGUUUAGCCUCCUUUAGCUGGUUCUAGUGCUCGAAUAUAUAGAGUAAAUCUGGAUUUAUAAAUAUCUAUCAUGGUGCUUGAGCUGAUGCUGAUGCCAAGGCCAUUAUGCUUCAGUCUGGCAAUGUACAGACACAGAAUAAACAUCAAACUAGCAGGAAAAGUAACUUCACUACUAUGUAUUUAAGUCCUCUUGCUUUUGGUACCUGUUGGGCAAGAUAAAUUAAGUCAUAACUGUAUGUUAAGAAUAUGAAUUUAACAUUUAACAUGUUUUUUUAUAUAAAUAUGUUUUUAUGUCAUUGUCUUUCCAUUUUUCUAGCCCAAAUACCAGCUCCAAUGACCAGAACAACAGACUGUGCAGGUCCACCAGUGCUAUGCUGCCCUGGACAAAACUCCAGUUGUUUCAGGGGGUGUUAUUGUGAUCAGAUAUGUCUGACAUUUGGUGACUGCUGCCGUGACUACAGGUCAACCUGUACAGAAUUUGUGACCCAAGUACCAACAAGAAAACAAGCCACUGGAAACAACAAUAUAAUAUAUACAGAUACAAACAUCACCACACCAACGCUCAAUGCAGCAUCUGCACUUAACAGAACAGACUCAGCAUCCACAGCGCCGGCAUCUGCAGCAACCAGCCAGACAAGCAGUGAUACAUCUACACUAGCAAAUACGAAAACAUCUUCAAUCGUGUCCACUGUAACAGCAGGCACCAAUGCAACAGUGGGCACCACUGCAACAGUGGGCACCACCGCUACGCUAGCAGAUAUCGAAACAACUUCAGUCUCUGGUUCUACACCAACCAGCCAAAAAAGCAGCACUACUGCAUCUACACCUUUAGCUGGCCUCAUAACAUCCAUCUCCACUGCUGCAGGAAGUGGAAACACUGCUGGCAUUUCCAACAAAAACAAGGAUUCCACAACUGACACAAGCUCAGACAAAGAUUUCCAAACAGUGACUUUUCACCUAAAAGCUUCACUUUCAUCCUCUAAUCGGGAUAGCAAAGAUGUGAUCUUAGAGGCUUUAUCCAGUUUCCUGUCCAACGUCCUUCUCCGGUUGAACUGUGAGCGCUGUAUCCUCAAGGUCCAACACGUCAAACCCACCUGAGAAACAGCGUUUGCAGCAGUCACUGGAGGCAGGAUAUGGCACCAGCUAUACUCUGACAAUAAAUUGCAAAAUUCUCAACGACAAAUUAAUUUCUUGAAAUUACAUAAGAUACAAGAUAUAUAUCAGAGGCUUGAAAGUCGAUGCUUUAAGUGAAAGUUCAAGUGGGCUUUUCAGUUUUAUAAUGCUAACAGUCACAUUUAUCACCAGGUAGUUGAAACAUGUGAGAUAGUGCAUACCUCACUGCACAUGCCAUAACUUACAAAUACAGUACCAUACUAUUAAAUGUGAAUCCUGCUAGCUUGUGUGUUGUGUUUGAGAUAACAAAAAGCCCUAAUCCUGACAACAGUAAAGAUACUGUUCUUCUUACGGGAGGAGGCCAAAGAUAAACGUUAGCUGCCUUUAAAAAAAGAUCCAAAGAGCUGGACAGCCUGACUAAAAUUAACAGUUAUCUAAUAAAUUAAUCAUGUUCCUCAGAGAGGAUUUGAAUUACUAUUUUUAUUUUAAUUCUUAUCAUUGCGGAAAUGACUUUCUGGAUAUGGGAUAUGCCAAAAAAACUUCUACUCAGAAAACAAUCUGGCUGUGUUACAGAAAUCUGUGUCACUGUGUUGUCAUUCACUUGUAGCUGUAAUAGCUUUCCCUACAUGUGUACAGUCUGUAAUCAGUCCUGUAUUUGUGCAAUCUCCUCACGUUUACAGCAUGUCAAGGUAGCUGUACUUUGGCAUUGCGCCAGAGUCUGUGUGUGUUAACCAGACUUACCAGUCAGGAAUUGGUUUGCAUCUGAUCCUGAUCCUUUGCAGACUCACUUGGCAAGUAUAAUAUCAUUGAAUUUAAUAUUUAAAAGCAGCAUGACUUAGUACUGGUACUGCCAAGUUUUGGUAUUUGUCAUAAAUCCAAAUGGCAAAAGAGCACCAUUAAUCUGAAAACGUGGAUAUUGGGUAUAGACUACCAGAAGUCAGAUUAAUAAAUUAUUUACUCACGGAUGUCAACAGACUCAAUAAAUUGAUCCUCAAGGCAGGUAACAUUAUGGGGAUGGAGGUGGACUCUCUUAAGGUAGUGUCAGAGAGGCAGAUGUUGUCCAAAAUAAGUACAAUGCUGGAUAAUACCUCCAUGAUGUGCUAAACAGUCACAGGAGCACUACUGAACGGCACAGGAAAUCCUUUCUUCCUCGCCUACAAUUCCUCCAUCUAAAGCACAAGUACGCAGUGCAAUAGUUGCUCACCCUCUACAGAGAAAAUAGCAAGUCAAGUUUGAUGAGAGGGAUACAAUGGAUACAAUCUUUAUCUGUUCAGUGGUAGGGAGCUCAGUUCCCACAGCCAUGUAGGCACCGGCCUGAUAAAGAAGACACAUAGAGUACGCCAUGACCUUGAACACAGUUUACAACUAGUUUUUUUUUUAAUCUUCACACUCUUUCUUUGUUCAGGAAACUUACAGCUACAUAUCAGUAGUACACCAAGGUUAAAGAAGGUGAAACACAAAUAUUCAUUCACACACCUCAAUGUCAACCAUAUUUAAUUUUUUGUAAUAUACUGGCAUAGUUAUAAUUAGAGCUAUUUUUUUAACUCCAUAAUUUGUUGUAUUAUUUACUGUCUAUGAGCAACUGUGACCAUUUGAUUACUUCUGGGAUUAAUGAAGUGUUCUGAUUCUGAUAGGUUAUCCUAGCAUUACUUCACUUCAUGUUUUGUAUGUAUUCCAUUUGCUGUGCAUUAUUAUCAAUCUUCUGUUUGCCUAAUAGACUUGAUUUUUUUAUGCUUGUGUAGUUUUCAAUUAUGAGAUCAGUCUAAAUAUGCAGAGGUACAAAACUGUUGAUAUGAAAGUUGAUAUAACAGGAAACUGAGCUGUGAGGCUGCACACAGUCACUGUGAUGAAAACAUAUUUACUAUUUCUAAAUGCAAGUGAUGCAAAGUUUAGAAGCCAAUUCUGUAUUGAUAUCCAAGUUGCAGAAACAAUUUAAAUGUAAUAAUGUAAUAAAGCAUGGCCUGAUGUUAAUCUGGUAAAAUGACAUAAAGUAUUUCUAAAUUUUUAGGGUGUUAUUCUUUUGUUAGUCUUUUAACCUUUUUCUAUUAAAAACAAACAAACCUGAAUAUACUGUUCGAAAAUAGUUACUUUUUUUUUGUUUGGUGUGCUAUUAUUUUUUAUUACUUUCAUUGAAAGUAUACACAACACACUUCUUUAACAGAGAAAUGACAGAAGGUGAUGUGUAUUCUUUCACUGUUCUAGGAAGUCCACUAUGAUAGCCAUCAGAUGCCACGUACUCUCA